rnacentral:lncRNA from 1 species
UCAGCUGGAGUUUCUAUCUAUUAACUUUAUUUUCUUCCUGUGUUUCCCAGAUCGUUACCGUCAUUUCCUUAUUCAGUCACUAAGCUUCUUCUUCAUCUCAGGUGAGUUACAUCUUUAUGAAUUGCCAAUUUCGUAUUAUGUGUGCUUCCUUUAUAUUAUAAUUUACUUCUGUUUCUAAACAAAACUAAUCUCUGUUUCUUUUUUCCUUUGGUGAAUGUUGCAACUCAUGAUAUUCUCCUUUUCUUACGUCUCUGUUUUAUAUAUGAUUGUAUAAUGCAGAAGAGGCACCUAAAAGUUAUAAAAUUUUGAAUAGUUUUACAAAUUUGAAUUCGUCAAACUUGUAAAAAUAAAAAUAAAAAUUGUGCAACUCUAUGCUAGGUAUUUGAAUUUCUAGGCAUGGACAAAUUAAAGGUAAAUGGCUCUCCGGACAUAGUUCUAGAGGACUUUUUCAGGGCUGCAGUAUCACAAUCAGACUCUUCAUAAGAUAGCACUUCAGAAUUGGAAGGUGCAAAACAUUGAAGGCCUGCUUCUAGAUGGGCUGGAUUUUUCGAGCUCUUUCGAACGAAAUCGAAGAGAUACUU